UACGUAGGGUGCGAGCGUUAAUCGGAAUUACUGGGCGUAAAGCGUGCGCAGGCGGUUCGUUGUGUCUGUGGUGAAAGCCCCGGGCUUAACCUGGGAAUGGCCAUGGAAACUGGCGAGCUGGAGUGUGGCAGAGGGGGGGUGGAAUUCCGCGUGUAGCAGUGAAAUGCGUAGAGAUGCGGAGGAACACCGAUGGCGAAGGCAGCCCCCCUGGGUUGACACUGACGCUCAGGCACGAAAGCGUGGGGAGCAAACAGG
rnacentral:rRNA from 1 species